rfam:Candidatus Gottesmanbacteria bacterium RIFCSPLOWO2_01_FTLL_49_10 rifcsplowo2_01_scaffold_28733, whole genome shotgun sequence.
GGUCGGUUAGCUCAGCGGUAGAGCGGUCCGUUCACAUCGGACAGGUCGAGGGUUCAAAUCCCCCACCGACCA